rnacentral:lncRNA from 1 species
AAGGGUAAAUUUUGGGGUAUUACAGAUUCCAAUACACUUUCACCUUUCAAUUUCAAACAAUACUUCUUCAAUCACUUAUCACCAAAUAUCCAAUUAUGUGACUUCGGUCACUUCACUCCGUUCAUUUCGUGAUACACUCAUAGUCUACCUUCCUUCACUCCAUGUGAUAUACCAGUUAUCUUUGAGCCAAGUACAUUAUACUUUUGUGCUCCAUCUUGUACCUCUUUGUGAACCAAUAGUUGUUUGGCUCUCAU